CCUUUGGAGCUUGAAUAAGCAAUAGUUUUGUAAACUGAAGAUAUAAAAAAUUAUCUUAGGCUA
rnacentral:tRNA from 1 species